CCUACGGGAGGCAGCAGUGAGGAAUAUUGGUCAAUGGACGAGAGUCUGAACCAGCCAAGUAGCGUGAAGGAUGACUGCCCUAUGGGUUGUAAACUUCUUUUAUAUGGGAAUAAAAUGUUCCACGUGUGGGAUUCUGUAUGUACCAUAUGAAUAAGGAUCGGCUAACUCCGUGCCAGCAGCCGCGGUAAUACGGAGGGUCCGAGCGUUAUCCGGAUUUAUUGGGUUUAAAGGGAGCGUAGGUGGAUUGUUAAGUCAGUUGUGAAAGUUUGCGGCUCAACCGUAAAAUUGCAGUUGAAACUGGCAGUCUUGAGUACAGUAGAGGUGGGCGGAAUUCGUGGUGUAGCGGUGAAAUGCUUAGAUAUCACGAAGAACUCCGAUUGCGAAGGCAGCUCACUGGACUGCAACUGACACUGAGGCUCGAAAGUGUGGGUAUCAAACAGGAUUAGAUACCCGGGUAGUC
rnacentral:rRNA from 1 species